rnacentral:tRNA from 1 species
UGCCGGUUGGUGUAAGUGGUAGCACGACUGACUCUGGAUCAGUUCGCCAGGGUUCGAAUCCUUGACCGGCAG